rnacentral:lncRNA from 1 species
ACAGAUGUGAACACUGAAGCUCAAAGUGGUCAAAAGUAUUUCAGAUAAUUUCUAAAUAAGUGGGCUGGUGAGGUUUCUCUAGUGUGUAAGAGAGAAUGCUAAAUAAUGUUUAAGAGGAAAAGGAGAAAACCUAAUAUUCCUUACUAUGCUAGAUACUUUAGGUACAUUAUUUAUAAAUGUCCCAUUAUCCUCUGAAGCUUUUCUAGAUGAAAAAAAAAAAAAAAUGAGGCUUGGAGAACAAUUUACUAUAGGUCCCAAGUUAAUAGAGAGUAGAGUCAAAUUUUGAUCUUUGGUGUAGCUGCUUGCUAAAGCCGGUGACCUUCCCAUAGCACUGCUCUGCCUCCUCGUGGCCACUCGGGGCAACACUUUUCUUUCUUGGGGCCAUGGCUGCAGUGCUGUGGAACCCACACAGGAGGGAAGAAGGGUAAACUGGGGGAGCACACGUUAGGUUUGAUUCUUUGGCUGUCUCACCUAAGGCCCGUUUCAUAAACCUAGACUGUGCCUAUUGAUUGGAAGAGAUUGUUCAGACUGUGGUUCUUAGCGCAGAACCAGACCUCUAACGGUGUCAUUUGAUGGCGGACUUUUUCCCUAAGCUGUCAACUAUGCUGUAUAGUUAGAGACACUAGCUGCUGCUGUUGUUUUGAUUUCUGACCAAAAGACAUGUUAAUAUGUUAAAGCAGUGACUUUAUGGCAGUCUAGCAGUUGUACCGCAAAGCAAGAAAAAAGAAGAUAGAAAUCAUGACAAGCCUGAAUAAAAAUGGAAAAAUUACAGAACAGUAUAUAGAUAUUUUGAUACCACUCAGGGCCUUUAGUGCUCACACAUCUGGAUUGUUUACCUUAUUUUUUUCAGUUUUCAGCAGGAUGUUUGGCAUUAUGGAGGUCAAGGAACAAGUAUUUUUUUAAAAAUGAGCAUCAUCGGCAUGAGCCACCACACCCAGCCCCACCUAUGUUACAUUUCUGCCACCCUUCUGUUUCCCAAGUCAUCUGGAUUGUUGAUUCUGCUCUUUUCCCCUCCUUCCCCUGACACUUUAUUCAUAUAUCUGAUAUAGCAUCUGUCACAGUUUACAUUGGAUAGGCUUGUAGAUGCCCCUUCUCCCACCAGUGUGCGAACUCUUUAGGGAUAACAGAGUAAAGAGGUUAAGAAUAGAGACUUUGGAAUCUGCCACUUACUAGCCAUGUGACCUUGAGCCAAUGGCUUCUCUGAGUCUCAGAUUCUUCAUCCACAAAAUAGAAAAGUAAUGGUACCAACUCUGUUGGUUGUGAGGAAAUGAGAUAUUAUAUAUGUGGGACACUUAGCACAGUGCCUGGCAUAUAGUGAACAUGCAGUAAUGAUUGUUUUCUUUGUACUCUCAGGGUCUGGUGCCUAAUGAGUCUCAGGGUUUUGUUUUGUUUUUUGAACCAAGCUGAAUAAUGUAAAUGGAAAAAUUCUGUUUUCUCAGUGUCUUUCGGUAGAUACAUCUUAUACCAUUUUGUUCUCUUCUAAAACAGGGCUUCUUAAUCUGUAUAAAUGAAGGAAGCCACCCCUUUUUCCCUUUUCCCCUGUAACUACCCUUUUUAGAGAUUUUAGGUUUUGUUUUUGAGAUGUUCUUUUGAAUUCAUGAAAUCCAAGAUGAGCCAAUCAGGCCCAGCAGAC